GACAGAGGGUGCAAACGUUGUUCGGAAUUACUGGGCGUAAAGGGCUCGUAGGCGGCCAACUAAGUCGGAUGUGAAAUCCCCAGGCUUAACUUGGGAACUGCAUCCGAUACUGGAUGGCUUGAAUCCGGGAGAGGGAUGCGGAAUUCCAGGUGUAGCGGUGAAAUGCGUAGAUAUCUGGAGGAACACCGGUGGCGAAGGCGGCAUCCUGGACCGGCAUUGACGCUGAUGAGCGAAAGCCAGGGGAGCAAACGGG
rnacentral:rRNA from 1 species